rnacentral:rRNA from 1 species
CAGCCGCCGCGGGAAUACGAAGGGGGCUAGCGUUGUUCGGAUUUACUGGGCGUAAAGCGCACGUAGGCGGAUCCUUAAGUCAGAGGUGAAAUCCCAAGGCUCAACCUUGGAACUGCCUUUGAUACUGGGGAUCUCGAGUUCGGGAGAGGUGAGUGGAACUGCGAGUGUAGAGGUGAAAUCCGUAGAUAUUCGCAAGAACACCAGUGGCGAAGGCGGCUCACUGGCCCGAUACUGACGCUGAGGUGCGAAAGCGUGGGGAGCAAACAGGAUUAGAUACCCCCGUAGUCCCUGUCUCUUAUAC